rnacentral:rRNA from 1 species
UACGUAGGGUGCAAGCGUUGUCCGGAAUUAUUGGGCGUAAAGAGCUCGUAGGCGGUUUGUCGCGUCGAAUGUGAAAACCCGGGGCUCAACCCCGGGCCUGCAUUCGAUACGGGCAGACUAGAGUUCGGUAGGGGAGUCUGGAAUUCCUGGUGUAGCGGUGAAAUGCGCAGAUAUCAGGAGGACCACCGGUGGCGAAGGCGGGUCUCUGGACAGUUCCUGACACUGAGGCACGAAGGCCAGGGGAGCAAACGGG